AGAGUUUGAUCAUGGCUCAGAACGAACGCUGGUGGUAUGCUUAACACAUGCAAGUCGAACGAGCGUGGCCUAGCUUGCUAGGAUUCUGCUAGUGGCGCACGGGUGAGUAACACGUGGGAAUCUGCCUCAUAGUAUGGAAUAACAUUCAGAAAUGAAUGCUAAUACCAUAUAAUACCUCCGGGUCAAAGAUUUAUCGCUAUUAGAUGGGCCCGCGUUAGAUUAGUUAGUUGGUGAGGUAAUGGCUCACCAAGGCUACGAUCUAUAUCUGGUUUGAGAGGAUGAUCAGACACACUGGGACUGAGACACGGCCCAGACUCCUACGGGAGGCAGCGGUGGGGAAUAUUGGACAAUGGGGGAAACCCUGAUCCAGCAAUACCACGUGAGUGAUGAAGGCCUUAGGGUUGUAAAGCUCUUUCAGAUAUGAAGAUAAUGACUGUAAUAUCAGAAGAAGCACCGGCUAACUCCGUGCCAGCAGCCGCGGUAAUACGGGGGGAGCUAGCAUUGUUCGGAAUUACUGGGCGUAAAGCGCGCGUAGGCGGCUUGGCAAGUUGGAAGUGAAAUCCUGGGGCUCAACCCCAGAACUGCUUUCAAAACUGAUAGACUAGAGUUAAGUAGAGGAUAGUGGAAUUCCCAGUGUAGAGGUGAAAUUCGUAGAUAUUGGGAGGAACACCAGAAGCGAAGGCGACUAUCUGGGCUUAUACUGACGCUAAGGUACGAAAGUGUGGGGAGCAAACAGGAUUAGAUACCCUGGUAGUCCACACUGUAAACGAUGAGUGCUAGUGGUCGGGUCUAUACGAUUCGGUUGCAAAGCUAACGCGUUAAGUACUCCGCCUGGGGAUUACGGUCGCAAGACUAAAACUCAAAGGAAUUGACGGGGGCCCGCACAAGCGGUGGAGCAUGUGGUUUAAUUCGAUGCUACGCGAAAAACCUUACCAAUCUUUGACAUAGUAGAUCGCGAUUUCCAGAGAUGGACUCCUUCAGUUCGGCUGGAUCGGAGACAGGUGUUGCAUGGCUGUUGUCAGCUCGUGCCGUGAGGUGUUAGGUUAAGUCCUUUAACGAGCGCAACCCUCAUUCUUAUUUGCCAGCGGGUAAUGCCGGGAACUAUAAGAAAACUGCCAGUGAUAAAUUGGAGGAAGGUGGGGACGACUUCAAGUCAUCAUGGCCCUUAGGCUGGGCUACACACAUGUUACAAUGGGAGUUACAAAGGGCAAGCAAAGGAGCGAUCCUAAGCCAAUCCUUAAAAGCUCUCUCAGUUCAGAUUGCAGGCUGCAACUCGCCUGCAUGAAGUUGGAAUCGCUAGUAAUCGUGGAUCAGCACGCCACGGUGAAUACGUUCUCGGGUCUUGUACACACUGCCCGUCAAGCCAUGGAAGUUCUUUUUGCCUGAAGCCAGUGGGCUAACCUUUUAGGAGGCAGCUGUCCACGGUAAGGCCAGCGACUGGGGUUAAGUCAUAACAAGGUAGCCGUA
rnacentral:rRNA from 1 species